rnacentral:rRNA from 1 species
CCCGGUGCCGGAAGGUUAAGAGGAUCCGUCAGGCUUCGGCCGAAGCGGUGAAUUCAAGCCCCGGUAAACGGCGGUGGUAACUAUAACCAUCCUAAGGUAGCGAAAUUCCUUGUCGGGUAAGUUCCGACCUGCACGAAUGGCGUAACGACUUCCCCACUGUCUCGACCAGGAGCUCGGCGAAAUUGCAGUACGAGUAAAGAUGCUCGUUAAGCGCAGAAGGACGAAAAGACCCCGGGACCUUUACUAUACCUUGGUAUUGGCAUUCGGUGUGGAUUGUGUAGCAUAGGCGGAAGGCUUCGAAGCCACGGCGCCAGCCGCGGUGGAGCCGCAAGGUGAAAUACCGCUCUGUUCGCAUUGGAUGUCUAACCUCGACCAGUCAUCCUGGUCAGGGACAGUGCCUGGCGGGUAGUUUAACUGGGGCGGUUGCCUCCCAAAGAGUAACGGAGGCGCUCAAAGGUUCCCUCAGCCCGGUUGGCAAUCGGGUGGCGAGUGUAAGUGCACAAGGGAGCUUGACUGCGAGACUGACGGGUCGAGCAGGGACGAAAGUCGGAACUAGUGAUCCGGUGCCGGUGUACGGACGCGGCAUCGCUCAACGGAUAAAAGGUACCCCGGGGAUAACAGGCUGAUCAUUCCCAAGAGUCCAUAUCGACGGGAUGGUUUGGCACCUCGAUGUCGGCUCGUCGCAUCCUGGGGCUGGAGCAGGUCCCAAGGGUUCGGCUGUUCGCCGAUUAAAGCGGCACGCGAGCUGGGUUCAGAACGUCGUGAGACAGUUUGGUCUCUAUCCUCUGCGCUCGUCGGAAUGUUGAGGAGGCCUGCCCAUAGUACGAGAGGACCUGGGUGGACGAACCUCUGGUAUGCCGGUUGUCACGCCAGUGGCACGGCCGGUUGGCUACGUUCGGAAGGGAUAACCGCUGAAAGCAUCUAAGCGGGAAGCCUGCUCCAAGAUAAGCAUUCCAUAGGACUACGGGUCCUUGAAGUCCCCAUGCAGAACACGUGGUUGAUAGGCCGGACGUGGAAGCCCCGCGAGGGGUGGAGCCGACCGGUACUAACGGACGAAAGGCAACACAAC